AUGCUGGAGUUGUUGCAGCAGUUAUCCUGACAUUAACCACUAAGGCUGUAAACCUUCCCUUCAACCAGAAAUAACACUUGAAGAAAAAUCCUGGAGGGAAGACAGAAGGAGCAAAUUGGCCAUGUGAAACAAGGACAGGAGGAACAGAGGAGGUGAGAGGCUUGGAGCCGUCACCUAUCUACCACAGGAAUGCCUGAGCUCCAGGUUCAACGCUGCUUUCGUAAAGUGAGUUUUCUUCCAUCUGGACUUGCAUCUAAAAACUACAGGUAAUCUUUUUUUACCUGAAGUGUGUUGGAAACAGUAAUAAAAUUGAGUAAGUUUUUUUCAUAUGAGCUCUCUUUUAAGCAAAUGCAAUCUUAAGUGUAGAGCAGUCUCGGUAACUGGACACACAACUAAUCCCAUUCACAAUUAGUUUAUUAUUCUUUUUAGGCUGUUUUUUCCCCUGAUAACACAUUUCCAACAGCUCUAAUUUUAGACUAGAUAUACAGGCACAUUCAGCAAUGCCUAAAGUGUAGUAAUGUGCUGAAGAUUUACUUGAUUUCAUGUUGAAUGAUGCUGAAGGGAACGUACCAGGCUACCCACGUAUCUGCAGCCAAAGAGCAAACUGAAGGAGUCAUGCUUCGCAUUGCCAGUUAUAUUUUCAGCUUUGCGUGUGCAGAACAACUAUCUGCUUUCCCACUGUUUGUUAAGCAUGCACGUAGGUUAGUCACUGCACUGAGCUCUGUUUUCACCAAAGGGGUCUGUUUGUCCAUGAAUUUUUCAGUAAUGUUAAUGCCCUGUAAAUAAUAAUGUUAACACUGCACAUACUAGCUGGUAGAUGUUCCUUAAGCCUGCUACCUGAAUUCAGGCUGGUUAGAAGCCACGCAGGGAGUGAAUUCAGGCUUGUACUCAAUGAUAAGGUGAAGGUGUGCAGUCUUUACAUUCAUUUCUACACACGCAAAGUGAUUGCAAAUUUUUUGCUUCACAGCUACUCUUGAUUUCAAUGCAGUACUACAAAUGUUUCUGCUCCUCUAUAAUUUCCAGCAUUGCAGCCAGUGGUUCACAGCUGAUACCAAAUUUCACUGUUGAAGACUUCUUGAUAAUGAGUCCAAGUCCAGCAGUGCAGCAUCUGUAUGACAUUGCUGGGCUAGGAUGCAAGUGCUGGUGUUGGGAGGGCUGUCAACAGAUCUACUGUGCUGGGAAACGUCUCAGGAACAGGUCAGACCAUGAAGUGAUCUCAUCUUUAAACCUCUUCAUGCCUCCUUUUGUGGCCUGGGCUGUGUGUCUCCCUCCAGGGCUCACUUACGCUGGUAACCAGUAUUGUGCUGGGAAAAAGCCCUUUGAUUUAUGGAAGGACUGCGUAGACUGCAAUUAUUAAGGGCUGCUUGCUCCAUCUGUGCUUACAAGUUGACUGAUUGUCCUCAGGAAUCAGAUGAGCCCCGUAUGUAUGUCAUACCCAGAAAUGACUGGAAGUGUCCCGUGCUUUCUCAAGAAAAAGCAGUGGAUUGGAACCCCAAAUCUUGAGCUGUGGGAAGUGUUGCUAUUCAUACAAAGCAUCCCUGAGAAACCAGGAAAUACAACCUGUAUCCUC
rnacentral:lncRNA from 1 species